rnacentral:RNase_P_RNA from 1 species
AGUGGACCGGGCAGCUGCGGGAAUCUUUGUGAUUCGUGAGGAAAGUCCGAGCUUCGCAGAGCAGGAUAACGGCUAACGGCCGCCGAGGGUGACCUUAGGGAAAGUGCAACAGAGAUAUACCGCCCGGUUUUUCCGGGUAAGGGUGGAAAGGCGAGGUAAGAGCUCACCGGCGUGCGGGGAACCGCAUUGCCCUGCAAACCCUAUCCGAAGCAACACCGACCGGGGAGGGGCGCAAGCCCCGCGCUUGCUCGGCGUAUUAUAUCCCCAACGGGUGGCUAAAGCGGUGCGGCAACGUACCGCGUAGACAGAUAGCUGCCUUCAAUGACAGAACUCGGCUUACAGGUCCGCUCGC